rnacentral:rRNA from 1 species
UACGUAGGGUGCAAGCGUUGUCCGGAAUUAUUGGGCGUAAGAGCUCGUAGGCGGUUCGUCACGUCGGCUGUGAAAACCUGAGGCUCAACCUCAGGCCUGCAGUCGAUACGGGCGGACUUGAGUACUGCAGGGGAGACUGGAAUUCCUGGUGUAGCGGUGAAAUGCGCAGAUAUCAGGAGGAACACCGGUGGCGAAGGCGGGUCUCUGGGCAGUAACUGACGCUGGAGGAGCGAAAGCCGGUGGGGAGCGAACAGG